rnacentral:rRNA from 1 species
AUUGAACGCUGGCGGCAUGCUUUACACAUGCAAGUCGAACGGUAACAGGCCGCAAGGUGCUGACGAGUGGCAAACGGGUGAGUAAUGCAUCGGAACGUGCCCAGUCGUGGGGGAUAACGCAGCGAAAGCUGUGCUAAUACCGCAUACGAUCUGUGGAUGAAAGCGGGGGACCGAAAGGCCUCGCGCGAUUGGAGCGGCCGAUGUCAGAUUAGGUAGUUGGUGGGGUAAAGGCUCACCAAGCCAACGAUCUGUAGCUGGUCUGAGAGGACGACCAGCCAAACGGGGACUGAGACACGGCCCAGACUCCUACGGGAGGCAGCAGUGGGGAAUUUUGGACAAUGGGCGCAAGCCUGAUCCAGCAAUGCCGCGUGCAGGAAGAAGGCCUUCGGGUUGUAAACUGCUUUUGUACGGAGCGAAAAGGCUCUCUCUAAUACAGGGGGCUCAUGACGGUACCGUAAGAAUAAGCACCGGCUAACUACGUGCCAGCCGCCGCAGUAAAAC